UUCAUAAUUGAAACUCGAACGCGUCUCUCGGUCACUCCCUCGCCGCUUCUAAGAGAGAAUGACGGUCUCCGUUCCUCUUCCCUCAAAUUUUGUGAUUUUAUGGGUAUAUCGUUUGAUGCCAUCGUAACCUUGGUGCCUAAAUUCCUGUAAAAUGGAGCUGGUGUGGUUUCCUUGUCAACAUGACUUGUGUGGAAGAAAUUGUGCUUCAAUAGAAAAGUGUCCUGAUCUUGCUAUCAAGUUUUGAAGGAUAUUUACUAUGGCUCUCGGUUUCCAGGCUGAUAUUGGUCAGUGAAUAUGACUAUGGCUUUGAAGAUGGGACGAAAGGAAAUGUGCAAGCAGGAUUGGCAUGUCUUUAAAUUGAUAAAAGGAAACUGGUGAGGUUUCAAGGCUAGCAACAUGUCCUGCUUGAAAGAUGUCCAGGGCUUGUGGUCAUAUUGGAGCUGGUGUGGCUUCCUUGUCAACAUGAAUUGUGUGGAAGGUUUAAGGAAUUGUGCUUCAAAAGAAGCACAAGGCUUGUCAGGAUCUGGAUGUGCAGUUUUAAAGUUGCCUUUGGUAUUUGAAGACCACUGGCUGAUGGUAUUGACCAGUGACCAUAACCAUAAGUUAAAGAUGGAUUGAAAGAAAAUAAGCAGGCAGAGCUGGCUGGCAUCACUCUCAACCUUCAAAAAGUGCUUCCAGUUACAGAGGUGACUUGUGCUUUGAUGGUUAGAGAAGACUUCUGUUCUAUAGAAUGGCCCAGAAGUAGCGGUUAAGUUACCACCAGUGAUUGCAAAUAAACAUUGAUCUGA